GAGCCCUGGAGCUGCGGCGAGCCGAGGUUUCGAGGGGCUCGUGGAGCCGAAAGGUGGCAUGGUGAGAAUGGUGAGGCUAGGAUGUAGAACUUGAUAGCCUCGCGCACCGGCUAGGACUGAACGGAGGCUACACUGGGGACCUUCAGGGCUGUCGAGCCAGAAAUGCCAUCGCGAGUCGGAGUGAACCGCAACCCGCUGGGGUUGCACAAGGCCUCGCCACCCCGGGACACAGGGAGUCGCUUUACUGAGCGUGGAGAAACCCUUAGACUUCCUGGGGAGACUCUCUGGGCAAAAUGUGUCUUUGUUGUGGUGUGGGGACUCGGGACGACGGGCCUCGCGCCUGUAAGACGAAAAGCUCGCGUGCACCCUGUGAGUGGAGCUAAACCUAGGUUCUGAAGUUCACUAUAGAAAGAUGCCAAAAGACCUACUGAGGGUCUCUGAAAAGUUAAAAAUGCUGAUAUGCGUAAUUUGAGUGUUUUAUUUUUCCCCUCCUGAGCUUUUCGAAGGAGAUGGCUAGCUCGGUGGUGAGGAUUCCCACAGCACAGUCAAGACCCUGGAUUGUAUCCCUAGCACUGGUCUGUUUGCAUCAGUGAAAAUAUAUACGGUGCCUCUGUUAGAAAUUAAUAAAGUUCCAGUAGGUCUUCCUUUCAAAAA
rnacentral:lncRNA from 1 species